UAUAAAGUUUGAUUCUUGCUUAUUAUAUUAUUUAUAAGUAAUUUUACAUGUAAGUUACUGCGUGUUUAUAAUUUCUCAAUGAAAUUUAAUUUAUUUUCAGUAUUUAAUUUUAUAUAUCAAAGAAAUUUGUAUAUAGUUAAUUUUUAUAGUCCUGACAAAUUUUGUGCCAGCAGUCGCGGUUAAACAAAAGGGGCGAAUAAUAUUUAUUGGUUUGUAUUAUUCUUAUUUUUUUAAUUUAAAAAUAUAUUUAUUAGGUGGAAUUUUAAUUUUAUUUUAAAUUAUGGUUUGAUAUAAUAUAUUAAAAUUGAAAUAUAGACUAGGAUUAGAUACCCUAUUAUUUUAAUUAUAAAUUUAUAACCUUAGUAUUAGUAGUUAUGUUCUUUAAAUUAAAAGAUUUUGGCGGUAACUUAAUCUUUCCAGAGGAACCUGUCCUGUAAUUGAUAAUCCACGUUAAAUUUAACUUUAAUUUAAGCUUGUAUACCUCUGUCAUUGAAUGUCUUAUUAGAGAAUUUUCUUUAAUUUUUAUUGAAGUUAAUGUUAGGUCAAGGUGCAGCUAUAUUAAAGGAGAGAUGGGUUACAUUAAUUUUAUUUGUGGUUUAAUUAUGUAAAUAUUUAAUUAAAUUGGAUUUGGAAGUAAUUUUUAUUAAAAUAUAAUUUUGAUUGUGGCUCUAAGUUAUGUACAUAUCGCCCGUCGCUCUCAUUAUUAAGGUGAGAUAAGUCGUAACAAAGUAGGCCUACUGGAAAGUGGGCCUGGCAAUAA
rnacentral:ncRNA from 1 species